UGUGCCAUAAUCCUACCUCUGCCGGACGCUAUGUCGCAGAAACUGGAGACCAGCUUGUGUAACACUGCGAGAUCUUCUUUCAAAGACAGGAGAAUAACAGAAAAGGCCUGACAACAGUAGAGUACAGCUCCAGUGCAUGACAGCGUCAUGGCAGAGGAGAGCCACGGCAGGUGGCAGGCGUGGCAGCAGGAACCCGAUGCUGAGAGCUCACAUCUUGAAGAGCAAGUUUGAAACGGCAAAAGUGAGCAGGAAAUGCUGUGAGACCCUCCAAGUCCUCCACCAGUUGCCUGCCUCAUCCUGCCAGGCUCCACCACCCAAAGAUGUCACAACCUCCCCAACAGAGCUACCGGCUGGGGACCGAGUGUUCAGAUGUCCCAGGGUGCGGGGGACAGUUCUCAUUCAAACCACCACACCUGCUCAUCUUGGUCACCUCCGUACUCCUGUACACCUUCUUCCUUUGGCUUGCCUGAAUAUGGCAUUACAAUGAGACUCAGAGAACCAA